rnacentral:rRNA from 1 species
CCCUUAGAUGUCCGGGGCCGCACGCGCGCUACACUGAAGGAAUCAGCGUGGCUUUCUCCCUGACCCGAAAGGGUUGGGAAACCCGUUGAAUCUCCUUCGUGAUAGGGAUUGGGGCUUGAAAUUGUUCCCCAUGAACGAGGAAUUCCCAGUAAGCGCGAGUCAUAAGCUCGCGUUGAUUACGUCCCUGCCCUUUGUACACACCGCCCGUCGCUACUACCGAUUGACCGGUUUAGUGAGGGCCUCGGAUUGGUCUCGGCCCGCUCUUUACCGGGCGGCGCCGUUGGUCGAGAAGACGCUCGAACUUGAUCGUUUAGAGGAAGUAAAAGUCGUAACA